CUAGAGGCCCAGCGGAGGGAAACAUAUGUUGGCUUCAGUGACCCACUUGUUCCUUGAGGAGAACACCCAUUUCUACCUAAGAACAGCCCCAGAGGCCUAUGGACUUUAAACAUUGUUCUGAACAGACUCAUCUCAGAGGACAAAGCAGGUGGUGAUCAGAGAACGCAGAGACCUCAGAAGAAUUUUAUGGCAUUCCAGGCAGGACAUGGACCAGCCUGGGAAAAAGCAGAAAUAAGAGCUGGCAAUACAGAGAAUGCUACUAGGAAGUUAUUUCUGAAGAGAAACAAUGGGCCUGAGCAGCAGCCUACUAAACUAUAAUCAACGAGAGACUUACAAGCCUCAGGAGCAAUGGCGACAUCUUUCCAGUGAAACCUGCGAGUUGGAACAGGAUUUCAGAUGGUGUUUCUCAUAAGGAGAACUCCCAAGAUCUCAUGAUUAUGUAGACUAAUUCCUGACUCAAGACAGCAGAGAUAGGCCAUGGGACCAGGCAUCACUAAUGCACAAGACAAAGGUCAGAUGGAAAUUGGAAAGGAGAUAUAAGAGAAAAGGAGAGAAGUGACUGAGGCCUUUCAGUUCUAAUCUGACUAUAAAUUGCU